rnacentral:rRNA from 1 species
UACGGAGGGUGCAAGCGUUGUCCGGAUUUAUUGGGUUUAAAGGGUGCGUAGGCGGCUAAUUAAGUCAGUGGUGAAAGCCUGUAGCUCAACUAUAGAACUGCCAUUGAUACUGAUUAGCUUGAGUAUGGUUGAGGUAAGCGGAAUGGAUGGUGUAGCGGUGAAAUGCAUAGAUAUCAUCCAGAACACCGAUAGCGAAGGCAGCUUACUGGGCCGAAACUGACGCUGAGGCACGAAAGCAUGGGGAUCGAACAGG